rnacentral:rRNA from 1 species
UACAGAGGUCUCGAGCGUUAGGCGGAAUCACUGGGCUUAAAGCGUGUGUAGGUGGAUCGUUAAGUACCUUGUGAAAUCCCACGGCUUAACCGUGGAACUGCUUGGUAUACUGGCGGUCUUGAGCCAGCUAGGGGCUACCGGAACAAAUGGUGGAGCGGUGAAAUGCGUAGAUAUCGAGAGGAACACCUGCGGCGAAGGCGGGUUGCUGGGCCGACACUGACGCUGAGGCGCGAAAGCCAGGGGAGCGAACGGG